AGCAGCCGCGGUAAUUCCAGCUCCAAUAGCGUAUAUUAAAGUUGUUGCAGUUAAAAAGCUCGUAGUUGAAUUUCGAGAUCAGUACGCUGGUCGUGCCUUCGGUAUGCACUGGUGUCACUGGUUUCUCCCUUCUGAAGAACCGUCAUGUCAUUAAGUUGGUGUGGCGGGGAAUCAGGACUGUUACUUUGAAAAAUUAGAGUGUUUAAAGCAGGCUCGCGCUUGAAUACAUUAGCAUGGAAUAAUGAAAUAGGACGUUUGACCCUAUUUUGUUGGUUUCUAGGAUCGACGUAAUGAUUAAUAGGGAUAGUUGGGGGCAUUAGUAUUCAAUUGUCAGAGGUGAAAUUCUUGGAUUUAUUGAAGACUAACUACUGCGAAAGCAUUUGCCAAGGAUGUUUU
rnacentral:rRNA from 1 species